rnacentral:RNase_P_RNA from 1 species
UGGGUCGGGCCGACGAUCGCUGCCGGGGCAACUCGGGAGAGGAAAGUCCGGGCUUCAUAGAGCGCGGUGGCGGGUAACGCCCGCCAUUCUGGGGAUUGCGUCGACUCCGCGACCAAUCUUUCGGGAUAGAGAAAGUGCAACAGAAAGUAUACCGCCGGCGGAUGUCCGAUCGAACGCCUUUGAUCGGACUAUCACACCGCAGGUAAGGGUGAAACGGCAGGGUAAGAGCCUACCAGCGGCGGGGUAACCCGUCGGCUCGGCAAACCUCACCGGAAGCAAAGCCAAACAGGGGGCAGGAGUGACUCGCUCCGUUACGACCUCCGGGUAGGCUGCUCGAGCCUGGGAGCAAUCCCUGGCCUAGAUAAAUGGUCGUCGCUUAGGGGAAACCCCAAGUACAAAACCCGGCUUACAACCCGACCCAUGAA